rnacentral:rRNA from 1 species
AAUUUCCGCGGGGGCGUCAAAGCUUACCAAAGAAUAUCAAACUCCGAAUGCCAUGUAGAUGAUGAACGGGAGUCAGACUGCACGAGAUAAGUUGGGCAGUCAAAAGGGAAAGAGCCCAGACCGCCAGCCAAGGUCCCAAAGUGUGUGUUAAGUGGAAAAGGAUGUGGGAUCUCCAAGACAACUAGGAUGUUGGCUCAGAAGCAGCCACACAUUCAAAGAGUGCGUAACAGCUCACUAGUCGAGAGGUCCUGCGCCGAAAAUGUCCGGGGCUGAAACACAACACCGAAGCUGCGGAAUUGCGAAUGCAAUUGGUAGAGGAGCAUUCUUAAUACCGACGAAGCUGUACCGGAAGGAGCAGUGGAGGGAUAAGAAGAGAGAAUGCCGGAAUGAGUAGCGAGAGAGAGGUGGGAAUCCUCUCGGCCGAAUAUCCAAGGUUUCCAGAGUAAAGCUGAUCUGCUCUGGGUAAGUCGGGGCCUAAGGCGAGGUCAAGAGACGUAGCCGAUGGACAACAGGUUUAGAUUCCUGUACCGCAUAUAAACAGAACUGUGGGGACGCAUGGGGAGAGCAUGGGCCGGGAAUGGAAAUACCGGUGCAAGCGAAGGAGGUGUGCAGCCGGCAAAUCCGCUGCAUGAGCCGAAAGCGUGACGCGGAGCGAAAUGAAAGUAGCGAAGCAUGUGAGCCCUGUGCCGAGAAAAGCCGCUAUAGCUUUAUAUGUGCCCGUACCGUAAACCGACACAGGUGGAUGAGGAGAGAAUCCUAAGGCCGGCGGAAGAAGUAUUGUUAAGGAACUCGGCAAAAUGACCCCGUAACUUCGGGAGAAGGGGUGCCCAUGAAAGUGGGCCGCAGAGAAUAGGCUCAAGCAACUGUUUAGCAAAAACACAGGUCUAUGCGAAACCGAAAGGUGAAGUAUAUGGGCUGACGCCUGCCCGGUGCUGGAAGGUUAAGAGGAGAGGUUAGCGCAAGCGAAGCUUUGAAUUUAAGCCCCAGUAAACGGCGGCCGUAACUAUAACGGUCCUAAGGUAGCGAAAUUCCUUGUCGGGUAAGUUCCGACCCGCACGAAAGGCGUAAUGAUUUGAGCACUGUCUCGACAAUACAUCCGGUGAAAUUGAAGUACCAGUGAAGAUGCUGGUUACCCGCGCCAGGACGGAAAGACCCCAUGGAGCUUUACUCCAGUUUGGUACUGGGAUUCGGUACUGCACGUACAGGAUAGGUGGGAGACUAAGAAACUUGAACGCCAGUUUGAGUGGAGUCGCUGUUGGGAUACCACCCCUGCAGUAUUGGAUUUCUAACCAGUCACCGUGAUCCGGUGAUGGGACAAUGCCAGGCGGGGAGUUUGACUGGGGCGGUCGCCUCCGAAAGGGUAUCGGAGGCGCUCAAAGGUUCCCUCAGAAUGGUCGGAAACCAUUUGAAGAGUGCAAAGGCAGAAGGGAGCUUGACUGCGACACCGACGGGUGGAGCAGGUAGGAAACUAGGACUUAGUGAUCCGGUGGCAUAAAGUGGGAUUGCCAUCGCUCAACGGAUAAAAGCUACCCUGGGGAUAACAGGCUUAUCACUCCCAAGAGUUCACAUCGACGGAGUGGUUUGGCACCUCGAUGUCGGCUCAUCGCAUCCUGGGGCUGUAGCAGGUCCCAAGGGUUGGGCUGUUCGCCCAUUAAAGCGGUACGCGAGCUGGGUUCAGAACGUCGUGAGACAGUUCGGUCCCUAUCCGGCGCGGGCGGAGGAUAUUUGAGAGGAGCUGUCCUUAGUACGAGAGGACCGGGAUGGACGGACCACUGGUGUAUCUGCUGUCGACCAACGGCAUGGCAGAGUAGCCAAGUCCGGAAGGGAUAAACGCUGAAGGCAUCUAAGCGUGAAGCCCCCCUCAAGAUGAGAUAUCCCUCACAUAAGUGGGUAAGAUCCCUUGA